rnacentral:rRNA from 1 species
GUGGCGGACGGGUGAGUAACGCGUGGGUAACCUGCCCUGUACAGGGGGAUAACAGUCGGAAAUGACUGCUAAUACCGCAUAAGACCACAGCACCGCAUGGUGCAGGGGUAAAAACUCCGGUGGUACAGGAUGGACCCGCGUCUGAUUAGCUGGUUGGUGAGGUAACGGCUCACCAAGGCGACGAUCAGUAGCCGGCUUGAGAGAGUGAACGGCCACAUUGGGACUGAGACACGGCCCAAACUCCUACGGGAGGCAGCAUG